AAUGCAAUUUAACCCUAAUUUACAUCAUUUUUACUCAGCUAUGGCUUCCAAACCUCAACUACAAUGAAGGGUUUAUAAAUACCAGGCCAUAAAUCACAUAUCUCCAAAGAAAGACAGAAACAUAAUACAUUAUCAUCUAAAAUGGGUAAGGAAAAAAAAAAUGUGUUGAAGAGUGAUAUGGGCCACUCUGGUCAUCCUCCUGCACAUGCUACGAAUUCGAGAGCUGCUCAGGAAAAUGUGCUUGAAAUGGAUAUGAGCCAUUCUGUUCGUCCUCUUGAAAAUACGAAGCCGAAGGAUCCUAAGAAAAACCCACUCUCAAACCAGAAAGGCUAUUCGCCUCCUCUUCCUAAGAAAAAAUAGUCUUAUGGCUAACAGGAUAUAUUUUACUUGUGAAAAUUACAGAUGGAAGAAAGUUUACUGCAACAUAUUUACAAAACAUAUUUACGUAAUGUAUUGUUUGUUAAAGAUUUACUGUUUGUUUGUAAUAGUUGAAUUGUGAUAUUAAUCCAGCUUAUGUUAUAGUUAUAGCCUAUAGGUGUAUAAAUAAGACUCAAUGUAUUGAUCAAAGUGUGCAUUUCAAUAUUUAUUCAAUAAUAUUUGUUAGAUCAUUCAGUUAA